rnacentral:rRNA from 1 species
GAUGAACGCUAGCGGCAGGCUUAAUACAUGCAAGUCGAACGGUAAGGUCUCUUCGGAGAUACACGAGUGGCGCACGGGUGCGUAACGCGUAUGCAACCUACCUUUAACUGGGAAAUAGCCCCGAGAAAUCGGGAUUAAUGUCCCAUACUAUUUUCUGAGAGCAUUUUCGGAAAAUGAAAGCUCCGGCGGUUAUUGAUGGGCAUGCGUGACAUUAGCUAGUUGGUGAGGUAACGGCUCACCAAGGCAACGAUGUCUAGGGGUCCUGAGAGGGUUAACCCCCACACUGGUACUGAGACACGGACCAGACUCCUACGGGUGGCUG